rnacentral:rRNA from 1 species
GACGAACGCUGGCGGCGUGCUUAACACAUGCAAGUCGAACGGAAAGGCCCUGCUUUUGUGGGGUGCUCGAGUGGCGAACGGGUGAGUAACACGUGAGUAACCUGCCCUUGACUUUGGGAUAACUUCAGGAAACUGGGGCUAAUACCGGAUAGGAGCUCCUGCUGCAUGGUGGGGGUUGGAAAGUUUCGGCGGUUGGGGAUGGACUCGCGGCUUAUCAGCUUGUUGGUGGGGUAGUGGCUUACCAAGGCUUUGACGGGUAGCCGGCCUGAGAGGGUGACCGGCCACCUUGGGACUGAGAUACGGCCCAGACUCCUACGGGAGGCAGCAGUGGGGAAUAUUGCACAAUGGGCGGAAGCCUGAUGCAGCCACGCCGCGUGCGGGAUGACGGCCUUCGGGUUGUAAACCGCUUUCGCCUGUGACGAAGCGUGAGUGACGGUAAUGGGUAAAGAAGCACCGGCUAACUACGUG